rnacentral:tRNA from 1 species
CAUUAAGAAGCUAUGCAACAGCACUAGCCUUUUAAGCUAGAGAAAGAGAUAUACUAACAUCUCCUUAAUGA